CCUACGGGUGGCAGCAGUGAGGAAUAUUGGUCAAUGGCCGGAAGGCUGAACCAGCCAAGCCGCGUGAGGGAGGAAGGCGCGGAGCGUCGUAGACCUCUUUUGCCGGGGGACAAAAGGCCGGCCUCGUCCGGUCCUGAAGGUACCCGGUGAAAAAGCAUCGGCUAACUCCGUGCCAGCAGCCGCGGUAAUACGGAGGAUGCGAGCGUUGUCCGGAUUCGUGGGGUUUAAAGGGUGCGCGGGCGGGCGUUUAAGCCGGCGGUGAAAUCGCGGGGCUCAACCCCGCCGGGCCGUUGGAAAUGGGGGCCUUGAGUGCUGCAGAGGGAUGCGGAAUGCGCGGUGUAGCGGUGAAAUGCAUAGAUAUCGCGAAGAACCCCGAUUGCGAAGGCAGCGUACCGUACCGCCACUGACGCUGAGGCACGAAAGCGCGGGUAUCGAACAGGAUUAGAUACCCUAGUAGUC
rnacentral:rRNA from 1 species